rnacentral:sRNA from 1 species
GACCUAUAAACAUCGUGAUCUAGCCUGGGAGCAGAUCACUCCCUUUCGGUCGCGUGCGCCC